rnacentral:tRNA from 1 species
GCUGUCGUAGCUCAGGGGUAGAGCACUUCAUUGGUAAUGAAGAGGUCGGUGGUUCGAUUCCACUCGACAGCACCA